GACGAACGCUGGCGGCGUGCCUAAUACAUGCAAGUAGGACGCAGUUGCGAACGGGUGAGUAACGCGUAGGUAACUGCCUCUUAGAGGGGGAUAACUAUUGGAAACGAUAGCUAAUACCGCAUACUAGUAGAUGGACCUGCGUUGUAUUAGCUAGUAGGUAGGGGAAUGGGCUACCUAGGCAACGAUACAUAGCCGACCUGGGAGGGUGGUUGGCCACACUGGGACUGGGACAUGGCCCAGACUCCCACGGGAGGCAGCAGUAGGGAAUCUUCGGCAAUGGGGGGAACCCUGACCGAGCAACGCCGCGUGAGUGAAGAAGGUUUUCGGAUCGUAAAGCUCUGUUGUUAAGGAAGCGGUACUUAACCAGAAAGGGACGGCUAACUACGUGCCAGCAGCCGCGGUAAUUC
rnacentral:rRNA from 1 species